rnacentral:lncRNA from 1 species
AGCUCCAUCGCGAUCCGUGGCUUCCCCGCUGCCGUCUUCCUCCUCCUUCUCUGAGGUAAGCCUCCUCCUUCUCCUCCUCCUCCUCCUCAUCCUUCUCGUCCUCCUCCUCUUCUUUGUUUUCAGGGCUUGCAAACUGAUCUCACCUCCAUCCGUAGCCUCGAUCGGCGAUCGAAGAUUCUGCUUCUCCGCCGCCGUCGACCUCGCCGUCGUCUGAGGUAAGCCUCCUCCUCAUCCUUCUN